rnacentral:rRNA from 1 species
CGAACGGGUGAGUAACGCGUGAGGAACCUGCCUCAAAGAGGGGGACAACAGUUGGAAACGACUGCUAAUACCGCAUAAGCCCACGGCUCGGCAUCGAGCAGAGGGAAAAGGAGCAAUCCGCUUUGAGAUGGCCUCGCGUCCGAUUAGCUAGUUGGUGAGGUAAUGGCCCACCAAGGCAACGACCGGUAGCCGGACUGAGAGGUUGAACGGCCACAUUGGGACUGAGACACGGCCCAG